rnacentral:rRNA from 1 species
CAAUCUAUGUCGGCGACCGGCGCACGGGUGCGUAACGCGUAUGCAACCUACCCAUUACAGGGGGAUAACACUGAGAAAUCGGUACUAAUACCCCAUAACAUCCAGGGAGGCAUCUUCUUGGGUUGAAAACUCCGGUGGUAAUGGAUGGGCAUGCGUUGUAUUAGUUAGUUGGUGGGUAACGGCUCACCAAGACAACGAUACAUAGGGGGACUGAGAGGUUAACCCCCCACAUUGGUACUGAGACACGGACCAAACUCCUACGGAAGGCAGCAG